rnacentral:rRNA from 1 species
UACAGAGGUGGCAAGCGUUGUUCGGAAUUACUGGGCGUAAAGGGCGCGUAGGCGGCCUGCUAAGUCAGACGUGAAAUCCCCCGGCUUAACCUGGGAACUGCGUCUGAUACUGGGAGGCUAGAGUGCGGGAGAGGGAUGCGGAAUUCCAGGUGUAGCGGUGAAAUGCGUAGAUAUCUGGAGGAACACCGGUGGCGAAGGCGGCAUCCUGGACCGACACUGACGCUGAGGCGCGAAAGCUAGGGUAGCAAACGGG